rnacentral:rRNA from 12 species
AAACCGACACAGGUAGGUAGGUAGAGUAUACCAAGGGGCGCGAGAUAACUCUCUCUAAGGAACUCGGCAAAAUGACCCCGUAACUUUGGGAGAAGGGGUACCUUAUAGGUUGCAAUAACAAGGUCCAAGCGACUGUUUAUCAAAAACACAGGUCUCCGCAAAGUUGAAAGACAAUGUAUGGGGGCUGACGCCUGCCCAGUGCCGGAAGGUUAAAGAAGCUGGUUAGCUUUUGCGAAGCUGGUGACUGAAGCCCCGGUGAACGGCGGCCGUAACUAUAACGGUCCUAAGGUAGCGAAAUUCCUUGUCGGGUAAGUUCCGACCUGCACGAAUGGCGUAACGACUUGGGCGCUGUCUCGACCACGGACUCGGCGAAAUUGCACUACGAGUAAAGAUGCUCGUUACGCGCAGCAGGACGGAAAGACCCCGAGACCUUUACUAUAGUUUGGUAUUGGUGUUCGGUGUGGCUUGUGUAGGAUAGGUGGGAGACGGUGAAGCGGGCACGCCAGUGCACGUGGAGUCAACGUUGAAAUACCACUCUGGUCACUCUGGACAUCUAACUUCGGCCCGUGAUCCGGGUCAGGGACAGUGCCUGAUGGGUAGUUUAACUGGGGCGGUUGCCUCCUAAAGAGUAACGGAGGCGCCCAAAGGUUCCCUCAGCCUGGUUGGCAAUCAGGUGUCGAGUGUAAGUGCACAAGGGAGCUUGACUGUGAGAGCGACAGCUCGAGCAGGGACGAAAGUCGGGACUAGUGAUCCGGCGGUACAUUGUGGAAUGGCCGUCGCUCAACGGAUAAAAGGUACCUCGGGGAUAACAGGCUGAUCUUGCCCAAGAGUCCAUAUCGACGGCAUUGUUUGGCACCUCGAUGUCGGCUCAUCGCAUCCUGGGGCUGGAGCAGGUCCCAAGGGUUUGGCUGUUCGCCAAUUAAAGCGGUACGUGAGCUGGGUUUAGAACGUCGUGAGACAGUUCGGUCCCUAUCCGCUGCGCGCGCAGGAAAUUUGAGAAGACCUGUCCUUAGUACGAGAGGACCGGGACGGACGAACCUCUGGUAUGGCAGUUGUACCGCCAGGUGCACCGCUGCUUCGCUACGUUCGGAAGAGAUAACCGCUGAAAGCAUCUAAGCGGGAAGCUCGCUUCGAGAUGAGAUUUCCAGACACCAUUUGGUGUGAGAGGCCCCCAGCUAGACCACUGGGUUGAUAGGCCGGAGGUGGAAGCACGAACCAACGACGUGUGCAGCCGACCGGUACUAAUAAGCCGACA